GGUCCGGUGGCCUAAUGGUCAAGGCGUUGGUUUUCGGUGCUAAUAUUUCGAAGGGGUUCGAAUCCUCUCCGGAUCG
rnacentral:tRNA from 1 species